CGUCUCCAUAGCAUACCACGCCCACGCGCCGCGCGCAUUCGGGUCUGCCUCGCCGCCGCGCCGCGCAGACGACCCGCCUUCCUCAGCGGCGGAGACGACCCGCCUUCCUCAGCCGCGGAGACGACCCGCCGGCCGCCCCCGCCUUCCUCAGCCGCGGACACGACCCGCUGACCGCCCCCGACACGGACCCUCACCCUCGCCGCGCCGAGCGCCGCCUGCUCUGGCAGCGUCCCUGCAAUAGAAGGAAUAUAAUAUACUGGCCUGAGGUUUGAGUGUUGUUGGUCACAAAACGCUUGAGACAUCUGCGCUCUAUCCCAGAUCUAUUUCCUCCUGCUGCUCUUGAUAAGCACGCAAGGAGUCCUUUCAUCUCAGAUCGUUUGGACAGCACUACUCGAUCAUAAUUUACAACCUUAGGUUUGGGGCUGGAAUGCUAUCGAAUAUUUUAAGCUCGGUUAUUUGAACCAAGAUCAGUAUACAAUGAGAAUGGAACUCUUGUUGUCGCAAUUUUUGAUAUAUCGAAAAUGCCAUCAAGAAUAUUUGUUGUCAAAGUGUUUUCACGACUUAUUCAAAGACAACAAGAAUGGAACUCGGGAUGUCAGUUCAAAUGUCAAAUUCUCAAAACUUUUGGAAGGCAACUUGUGGAACUUUAGGUCAUGAGGAUGGAAAACUUAUGUGCGCUUAUCAUUUCAUCAACUUUCUAGUUCCUGUUUUGAAAGUUGAUAAACAAAUCACAUCUCCAUGAGACUUUGAAUCGUAAAAGAGAAUGGAACUUGGAUUGCCACUUUAACUAUCGAAUUCCUGGAUAUUUUUGAAAGGCAACUUGUGGAAGGAAUUAGAGCUUUAGAUCACGAAGAUGGAAAACCUUUAUCGACACUUUUCAUUCUGCAACUUUCCAGGUUUUUUUUGUUCUAUGUUCAUAGCAAACCCAGUCUCCAAAAGGAGCUUGAAUUGUAAAUGAGAACAGAGUAUUGUGCUUGUAAUUUAUUUCUUCUUCAGAUUUCACUUUCUCGUGUAAUUGUACUUUGCUUAUUAUAUGAAUCAAUAAAGAUACUCUCUGCAAUUUCUACUUUUGAGUAUAUUUCUUAUUGGAUUCGUGCAAAUUGUAUGUUUGAUAUAAUAGCAUGUUACUGUACACGUGUUUGUUUUCAAAUUGGAUCUUGUUGGUAAGGUUUCAAACUUGUCCAUUUUGUUUGCCCAUCAGAAUUUAAGAAAUCCCCUAAAAGAAUCAGACUCAAAGGAAAAAAAAAAGGCUCACUGUAGACUUUUUUUAAGGAAAAAAAAAACUACAUACCUUUUAUUUUAGUUCCUAAAGAUCUGUUUUCUGUCCCACUUAAUAUGACCAGAC